rnacentral:rRNA from 1 species
GACGAACGCUGGCGGCGUGCUUAACACAUGCAAGUCGAACGAGACGAUUGAAAGCUUGCUUUUGAAAGUCGAGUGGCAAACGGGUGAGUAACGCGUAGACAACCUGCCUUUGAGAUGGGGACAACAGUUCGAAAGGACUGCUAAUACCGAAUGUUGUAUAUUUUCCACAUGGAAGAUAUAUUAAAGAUGGCCUCUAUUUAUAAGCUAUCGCUCAAAGAUGGGUCUGCGUCUGAUUAGCUGGUUGGUGGGGUAACGGCCUACCAAGGCGACGAUCAGUAGCCGGUCUGAGAGGAUGAACGGCCACAUUGGGACUGAGACACGGCCCAGACUCCUACGGGAGGCAGCAGUGGGGAAUCUUCCACAAUGGACGAAAGUCUGAUGGAGCAACGCCGCGUGAGUGAAGAAGGGUUUCGGCUCGUAAAGCUUUGUUGUCAGGGACGAAUGUGCAGUAUUUGAAUAAAGUACUGCAAUGACGGUACCUGACGAGGAAGCCACGGCUAACUACGUGCCAGCCGCCGCAGUAAAAC